rnacentral:rRNA from 1 species
GCCUGAAUCAGUGUGUGUGUUAGUGGAAGCGUCUGGAAAGGCGCGCGAUACAGGGUGACAGCCCCGUACACAAAAAUGCACAUAUUGUGAGCUCGAUGAGUAGGGCGGGACACGUGGUAUCCUGUCUGAAUAUGGGGGGACCAUCCUCCAAGGCUAAAUACUCCUGACUGACCGAUAGUGAACCAGUACCGUGAGGGAAAGGCGAAAAGAACCCCGGCGAGGGGAGUGAAAAAGAACCUGAAACCGUGUACGUACAAGCAGUGGGAGCCUCUUAAUGGGGUGACUGCGUACCUUUUGUAUAAUGGGUCAGCGACUUAUAUUCUGUAGCAAGGUUAACCGAAUAGGGGAGCCGAAGGGAAACCGAGUCUUAACUGGGCGUUAAGUUGCAGGGUAUAGACCCGAAACCCGGUGAUCUAGCCAUGGGCAGGUUGAAGGUUGGGUAACACUAACUGGAGGACCGAACCGACUAAUGUUGAAAAAUUAGCGGAUGACUUGUGGCUGGGGGUGAAAGGCCAAUCAAACCGGGAGAUAGCUGGUUCUCCCCGAAAGCUAUUUAGGUAGCGCCUCGUGAAUUCAUCUCCGGGGGUAGAGCACUGUUUCGGCAAGGGGGUCAUCCCGACUUACCAACCCGAUGCAAACUGCGAAUACCGGAGAAUGUUAUCACGGGAGACACACGGCGGGUGCUAACGUCCGUCGUGAAGAGGGAAACAACCCAGACCGCCAGCUAAGGUCCCAAAGUCAUGGUUAAGUGGGAAACGAUGUGGGAAGGCCCAGACAGCCAGGAUGUUGGCUUAGAAGCAGCCAUCAUUUAAAGAAAGCGUAAUAGCUCACUGGUCGAGUCGGCCUGCGCGGAAGAUGUAACGGGGCUAAACCAUGCACCGAAGCUGCGGCAGCGACACUAUGUGUUGUUGGGUAGGGGAGCGUUCUGUAAGCCUGUGAAGGUGGCCUGUGAGGGUUGCUGGAGGUAUCAGAAGUGCGAAUGCUGACAUAAGUAACGAUAAAGCGGGUGAAAAGCCCGCUCGCCGGAAGACCAAGGGUUCCUGUCCAACGUUAAUCGGGGCAGGGUGAGUCGACCCCUAAGGCGAGGCCGAAAGGCGUAGUCGAUGGGAAACAGGUUAAUAUUCCUGUACUUGGUGUUACUGCGAAGGGGGGACGGAGAAGGCUAUGUUGGCCGGGCGACGGUUGUCCCGGUUUAAGCGUGUAGGCUGGUUUUCCAGGCAAAUCCGGAAAAUCAAGGCUGAGGCGUGAUGACGAGGCACUACGGUGCUGAAGCGACAAAUGCCCUGCUUCCAGGAAAAGCCUCUAAGCAUCAGGUAACAUCAAAUCGUACCCCAAACCGACACAGGUGGUCAGGUAGAGAAUACCAAGGCGCUUGAGAGAACUCGGGUGAAGGAACUAGGCAAAAUGGUGCCGUAACUUCGGGAGAAGGCACGCUGAUAUGUAGGUGAAGCGACUUGCUCGUGGAGCUGAAAUCAGUCGAAGAUACCAGCUGGCUGCAACUGUUUAUUAAAAACACAGCACUGUGCAAACACGAAAGUGGACGUAUACGGUGUGACGCCUGCCCGGUGCCGGAAGGUUAAUUGAUGGGGUUAGCGGUAACGCGAAGCUCUUGAUCGAAGCCCCGGUAAACGGCGGCCGUAACUAUAACGGUCCUAAGGUAGCGAAAUUCCUUGUCGGGUAAGUUCCGACCUGCACGAAUGGCGUAAUGAUGGCCAGGCUGUCUCCACCCGAGACUCAGUGAAAUUGAACUCGCUGUGAAGAUGCAGUGUACCCGCGGCAAGACGGAAAGACCCCGUGAACCUUUACUAUAGCUUGACACUGAACAUUGAGCCUUGAUGUGUAGGAUAGGUGGGAGGCUUUGAAGUGUGGACGCCAGUCUGCAUGGAGCCGACCUUGAAAUACCACCCUUUAAUGUUUGAUGUUCUAACGUGGGCCCCUUACCGGGGUUGCGGACAGUGUCUGGUGGGUAGUUUGACUGGGGCGGUCUCCUCCUAAAGAGUAACGGAGGAGCACGAAGGUUGGCUAAUCCUGGUCGGACAUCAGGAGGUUAGUGCAAUGGCAUAAGCCAGCUUGACUGCGAGCGUGACGGCGCGAGCAGGUGCGAAAGCAGGUCAUAGUGAUCCGGUGGUUCUGAAUGGAAGGGCCAUCGCUCAACGGAUAAAAGGUACUCCGGGGAUAACAGGCUGAUACCGCCCAAGAGUUCAUAUCGACGGCGGUGUUUGGCACCUCGAUGUCGGCUCAUCACAUCCUGGGGCUGAAGUAGGUCCCAAGGGUAUGGCUGUUCGCCAUUUAAAGUGGUACGCGAGCUGGGUUUAGAACGUCGUGAGACAGUUCGGUCCCUAUCUGCCGUGGGCGCUGGAGAACUGAGGGGGGCUGCUCCUAGUACGAGAGGACCGGAGUGGACGCAUCACUGGUGUUCGGGUUGUCAUGCCAAUGGCACUGCCCGGUAGCUAAAUGCGGAAGAGAUAAGUGCUGAAAGCAUCUAAGCACGAAACUUGCCCCGAGAUGAGUUCUCCCUGACUCCUUGA